UCCUAGUUAACCUAGGCAGUCUCGUUAGAGUUCCCGCCAUUACGCGCUGGCAACUAACGAUAAGGGUUGCGCUCGUUGCUGGACUUAACCAAACACCUCACGGCACGAGCUGACGACAGCCAUGCAGCACCUAUAUAGAGACCCUUUCGGGAAGCACAAUCUCUUGUGCGGUCCUCUACAUUUCGAGCCCAGGUAAGGUUCUUCGCGUUGCAUCGAAUUAAACCACAUGCUCCACUGCUUGUGCGGGCCCCCGUCAAUUCUUUUGAGUUUCACCCUUGCGAGCGUACUCCCCAGGCGGCAUACUUAACGCGUUAGCUCCGAUACUGGUGGGGUUGAGCCCUCCAACAUCUAGUAUGCAUCGUUUACAGCUAGGACUAC
rnacentral:misc_RNA from 1 species